GCGAGGAGUAUGCAUGUCGCACAGCGACACCCAACGGCAGAAGUCCCACAGGCCUCGUGACAGCAGCGGACGCGCGCGCGGUGGUAGCGGGGCCGCAUUGGAAGAGCGGUUGAAAUGACAGCAAACAGACGAAGCAAAUGACUUUCCCAUCACUGCACGAGGCAGACGGCUGAUGUGACCCAGACAAACGCUAAACUUUCUUUCUUCCAGAGGGACAAGGCCACACAUAUCUCCAGAUGAUUGCUGUGACCGCACCACCAUACCAGGCACACACCCCUCAAGCAUCCACCAAAAAUUGAAUGGUAGGUUCAACAUUUACACACAGACCACUCUUAAUUCAUUGUAAUGAGCUGUUUAGCGACAGCUUUAGUGCAAAGGCGUGCAAGGCAUGUGAUUUGAAUGAGCAGUCUUGUUUUGUGCAUUCACUCUCUAUUUUAGGUUGCCCAUCUGGUGGUGAUGGACAAUUACUUUGCCAUGAUUGCUGCCAGAUAAAAAAAAAAAAAAUACUUGAUUGCUGUUCCCAGAGAAGCAUAAAAAAGUGUAGAUUGUCUUCUGACAUUUUGGAGACCUUGGCCUUAAGUUUUUGCUACAAAUCACCAAUCAAGUUGAGAUCUGCAAACAUGAAGCAUUUAAAAAUAUCAUUGUUACUAUUAUAUUUGAAAAAUCCAGUUUCCUUUAUAAGAGUCAGUAAUAUGUGAAUUAUCAUAUCAUAUUUUUUUAAAUGAAAAUUUUAAAAGACCAGCACUGUUGAUUUUAUACUUUUUCUUUCUUUUGUUCUCAAUUUCAUCAGAUUAAUUUUGGAGAAGAUUUAGUGUAAUUUUUUUGGGGGGGGGAUCAUGUUUUCUCCAUUUUGUUUUGCAGCAGUGGUUAUGAAAAAGUGCUGAAGAGAAAUUUUAUUGAGAAUUUAAAAUAAUUAUUUAGUUACUAUGGCAAGCCACAAGCUCCCUGCUCCACUCCAUUCUGAUGCAUGUGCUUGUAGACGAUUAGCUCCAUGUAAGUCUCCGAGCUUGCAUUUGGCUCAAAACAAUAUAACUGGAUAAAAAUUUCAUUUUUAAUACAAGAAAUUGUAUUUCUUUAUUUAAAUUGUUGUGAAUCCGAAGCAGACGAGAAAAUGCCAUUGGAACAAGCUUGCAGAUGUGAUGUAGAAGCUACAAUUGGCGGGGCAAAAACUCCCUACUCAGCUCCAUUCUGAUGCAUCCAUUUGCAGAAAAAUAGAUCCAUGUACAUCUUUGUUUUUCUUGU